UACGGAGGGUGCAAGCGUUAAUCGGAAUUACUGGGCGUAAAGGGUGCGUAGGCGGUUGUUUAAGUCUGUUGUGAAAUCCCCGGGCUCAACCUGGGAAUGGCAAUGGAUACUGGACAGCUAGACGUGUGUCAGAGGAUGGUGGAAUUCCCGGUGUAGCGGUGAAAUGCGUAGAGAGUCGGGAGGAACAUCAGUGGCGAAGGCGGCCAUCUGGGACAACCACUGGACGCUGAAGCACGGAAA
rnacentral:rRNA from 1 species